CCAGACUCCUACGGGAGGCAGCAGUGGGGAAUAUUGCACAAUGGGGGAAACCCUGAUGCAGCGACGCCGCGUGAGUGAAGAAGUAUUUCGGUAUGUAAAGCUCUAUCAGCAGGGAAGAAAAUGACGGUACCUGACUAAGAAGCCCCGGCUGACUACGUGCCAGCAGCCGCGGUAAUACGUAGGGGGCAAGCGUUAUCCGGAUUUACUGGGUGUAAAGGGAGCGUAGACGGCAUGGCAAGUCAGAUGUGAAAGCCCGGGGCUCACCCCCGGCGAGCCGUUGAAACUGGCUGUCUUGAGAUGUCGAGAGGUAUGCGGAAUGCGCAGUGUAGCGGUGAAAUGCUUAGAUAUUGCGCAGAACUCCGAUUGCGAAGGCAGCAUACCGGCGGCGAUCUGACGCUGAGGCACGAAAGCGUGGGUAUCGAACAGGAUUAGAUACCCCCGUACAC
rnacentral:rRNA from 1 species